AGAAAAGUAAGCUAAUCAAUUUAAGCUAAUGGGUUCAUACCCCAUAUAUAGAGUUAAACUCUCUUUUCUU
rnacentral:tRNA from 1 species